rnacentral:rRNA from 1 species
CUGCAGCCCGAGUGGUGAUCGAUUUUAUUGAGCCUAAAGCGUCCGUAGCCGGACUAGUAAACCCUUGGGUAAAUUGGGCAGCUUAACUGUCCAAAUUCCGAGGGGACUGCUAGUCUUGGGACCGGGAGAGGUCAGAGGUACUCAAGGGGUAGGGGCUAAAUCCUGUAAUCCUUUGGGGACCACCAGUGGCGAAGGCGUCUGACGAGAACGGAUCCGACGGUAAGGGACGAAACCCUGGGGCGCGAACCGGAUUAGAUACCCGAGUAGUCC